rnacentral:rRNA from 1 species
CAGAUUGAACGCUGGCGGCAGGCCUAACACAUGCAAGUCGAACGGUAACAGGAAGCAGCUUGCUGCUUUGCUGACGAGUGGCGGACGGGUGAGUAAUGUCUGGGAAACUGCCUGAUGGAGGGGGAUAACUACUGGAAACGGUGGCUAAUACCGCAUAACGUCGCAAGACCAAAGAGGGGGACCUUCGGGCCUCUUGCCAUCAGAUGUGCCCAGAUGGGAUUAGCUUGUUGGUGAGGUAACGGCUCACCAAGGCGACGAUCCCUAGCUGGUCUGAGAGGAUGACCAGCCACACUGGAACUGAGACACGGUCCAGACUCCUACGGGAGGCAGCAGUGGGGAAUAUUGCACAAUGGGCGCAAGCCUGAUGCAGCCAUGCCGCGUGUAUGAAGAAGGCCUUCGGGUUGUAAAGUACUUUCAGCGGGGAGGAAGGUGUUGUGGUUAAUAACCGCAGCAAUUGACGUUACCCGCAGAAGAAGCACCGGCUAACUCCGUGCCAGCAGCCGCGGUAAUACGGAGGGUGCAAGCGUUAAUCGGAAUUACUGGGGCGUAAAGCGCACGCAGGCGGUCUGUCAAGUCGGAUGUGAAAUCCCCGGGCUCAACCUGGGAACUGCAUUCGAAACUGGCAGGCUUGAGUCUUGUAGAGGGGGGUAGAAUUCCAGGUGUAGCGGUGAAAUGCGUAGAGAUCUGGAGGAAUACCGGUGGCGAAGGCGGCCCCCUGGACAAAGACUGACGCUCAGGUGCGAAAGCGUGGGGAGCAAACAGGAUUAGAUACCCUGGUAGUCCACGCCGUAAACGAUGUCUACUUGGAGGUUGUGCCCUUGAGGCGUGGCUUCCGGAGCUAACGCGUUAAGUAGACCGCCUGGGGAGUACGGCCGCAAGGUUAAAACUCAAAUGAAUUGACGGGGGCCCGCACAAGCGGUGGAGCAUGUGGUUUAAUUCGAUGCAACGCGAAGAACCUUACCUGGUCUUGACAUCCACAGAACUUUCCAGAGAUGGAUUGGUGCCUUCGGGAACUGUGAGACAGGUGCUGCAUGGCUGUCGUCAGCUCGUGUUGUGAAAUGUUGGGUUAAGUCCCGCAACGAGCGCAACCCUUAUCCUUUGUUGCCAGCGGUCCGGCCGGGAACUCAAAGGAGACUGCCAGUGAUAAACUGGAGGAAGGUGGGGAUGACGUCAAGUCAUCAUGGCCCUUACGACCAGGGCUACACACGUGCUACAAUGGCGCAUACAAAGAGAAGCGACCUCGCGAGAGCAAGCGGACCUCAUAAAGUGCGUCGUAGUCCGGAUUGGAGUCUGCAACUCGACUCCAUGAAGUCGGAAUCGCUAGUAAUCGUGGAUCAGAAUGCCACGGUGAAUACGUUCCCGGGCCUUGUACACACCGCCCGUCACACCAUGGGGAGUGGGUUGCAAAAGAAGUAGGUAGCUUAACCUUCGGGAGGGCGCUUACCACUUUGUGAUUCAUGACUGGGGUGAA